ACGGAGGAUGCGAGCGUUAUCCGGAUUCAUUGGGUUUAAAGGGUGCGCAGGCGGAAGUAUAAGUCGGAGGUGAAAGUUUGCAGCUCAACAGCAAACUUGCCGUUGAUACUGUAUUUCUUGAGUGUAAAUGGGGUAGGCGGAAUGUGUUGUGUAGCGGUGAAAUGCUUAGAUAUGACACAGAACACCGAUUGCGAAGGCAGCUUACUAAGCUACAACUGACGCUGAGGCACGAAAGCGUGGGGAUCGAACAG
rnacentral:rRNA from 1 species